AAGAACGCAGGCUGUUUUUAUUAAUGCAUAUUAAAACAAAAGUUAGAGGCAGUUUUCGAAGCUUGGGAGACAAUAUUACAUGGAAGCAUGUAGCAUAAUAUUUAGAUUGGUUAAGUAAGCUUGACAAAUUUAUUUUCCCAUUUUAGCAAAAUGUGCACUUGCAUUUGGUGUUACUGAUUACAGGACUGUACACAUUAGAAAGUAGUCUGAAUAGAUUAACUGAAAGAUGAAAUCCAGAGUGUUACAGGGUUUUUUUUGGUUGGUUU